UACGGGGGGGGCAAGCGUUGUUCGGAAUUACUGGGCGUAAAGGGCUCGUAGGCGGCCAACUAAGUCGGACGUGAAAUCCCUCGGCUUAACCGGGGAACUGCGUCCGAUACUGGAUGGCUUGAGCCACUUAGGGGCUGUCGGAACAAACGGUGGAGCGGUGAAAUGCGCAGAUAUCAGGAGGAACACCGGUGGCGAAGGCGGCUUGCUGGGCCAGUUCUGACGCUGAGGAGCGAAAGCGUGGGGAGCGAACAGG
rnacentral:rRNA from 1 species